CUUUUAGGUCUUUCAGCUAUAGCCCCCAUUUGUCAUUGUCUUGGAAACAUUUUUGUCACAAUGGGUGAUAAACAGGGACGUCUGCUGCCAUCUAGUGGACAGAUGCACACACAAUGUAUCGACAGGAUGUCUCCUGAGGCAGGAAUUCAUUAGUCCCAACCAUGUGAGGAUGAAAGCUGGCUUUUGCUGCUUGUGUGUGUAGAAGAAAUCUCCCUGACCUACUACUUCCUAAAAAGCCAUCCAGUUUAUCAGUGAUGUGAUCCCUGGAGUGGGGAAGAAAUGAAACAGAAGGAAAGAAGAAAGAAAGUACAGCGCCUGUUGGCUCUCUCACUGAAUCCAGAUCUCUCGAUGGUGGGCGAGUGCCAGGGAUCUGCCAGUCUCCAGCAGUCAGCACUAGAGUCAUAGAACGAAUGACUUCUGAGUUAUCAUCUUGGCUGGUGGGGGAUGGUGGAGGAACUGUUCCUGGGGAGACAAACAAACAUCUUCUCAUCAAAAAGGAAAUGACAACAAACUAAAGAGACAGUAACGUCAAAGCUCAGCUUGGUGAACCAGUGAAGAGUCCUCUGGGAACGUGAGUGACUCAAAGCCAUCCGAUUGACGGCAAGCUCUUGGGUGAUACUCAGGAAAGCUGGAACCCUGAGGCUCUCUGUACAACCUGUAGGAGGUUUGGCAGGUUGGAGAGGCUGUCUUCUAAGCAGCCCUCUGUUUAUGCAACCUUGAAGAGGACAGGACUUUGGAAGACUUCUGAGUUCUUUAUACACACACACACACACACACACACACACACACACAAGUGCCUGCAGAGUCCAGAGGAUCCCCUAAUAGUUGGUGUUAUAGGUAGUUGGAAGCUGCCCAAUGUGCUCGUGCUGGCAAACUUGGGUCUUCUAUGAGAGCAGGACAUGCUCAUGAUGGCUGAGCCCUCUCUAGCCCUGCUCCCCAAGUCAGCAUGAGCCAGCUUAGGCACUUCCUGAGUCCCACGAGUCUCCCUCCAGGGUAGAAAGUUUCAAUAUGGAGGAAAUUGCUAUCCAACAGUGGCACCGUUACACAGAUGUUUAUUCAGUUCUUCUUAUCCUGGUCUCCUAGUUUACACAUCAGGUUAACUCACAAGUAUAUACAUCUCAAACAUGAAUGUGGGGUACAAGGCUUGACCCACAGGGUGGUAGAAGGUCUGGAGUCAUCUGUCCUCUCAGUUGCCACUAAAGCAACAGGUCAGAUUUUCUUUAUUUGUUAUCCAGUAUUGGGCAUUCUAUAAUAAUAACACAAAAGAGACUAAAACACCACUCCGGGUCCACUCUGUACCCAGCCCUGGGAUCCAUAUUGGUGGGCAGUUUUGUAUUCAGAGUUGGCUAUUGAAAGCUCUAACAGGGGUUGAGCAGGAGGCUGGAUUAAUCCACACACUCUCUCUGCCAGACUGUGGAGUCCACUCUGAGUUCACUCUUGGACUGUAUUCUUGGACUGUCCACAGCCCACAGCUCCUAUACUGCUGCCAUGUAAAGAGGCAGAGCUUCUUCUCUUUCCUCAGAGCUCCCAUAGCCUCUUCCUGGCCAGACCUCUGUGUUGAAGAGUCUGAGCCAACAUCCCUCCUCUGCUCUGGGGUACAUCAUACACACCUCCCCGUCAGUCUCCAGAACGUUGUUCCCUUUGCAAAUAGUCCCAUAAGUGAACUUUUCUCAAAUUGUCCUAUGUCAUUGUGCUGUUGGGAUUAGCCCUUGGCCGAAGGGUCCUUUGAGAACAAAGGUCUGAAUGAGAAUCGAGGAUGACUGUUUCAGAGCCCAGAGCUGGAGUUGAUAAUGGAAAACAUGCCGUUGGUCUUGGUGCAUUUUUCAAAGUCAACACGAUCAGCGAAGAUAAGGUCAUGUGCUGGAUGAAACCACAGCAGAUUUCCAUCAUGAAAGCUACAAAGGUCUCCUCUUGCUGGUCAUCUGCUUGUGGGUAUAAUUUUUAAUGAAAUGAAUUUGAAGUACCAUAGCCAACUUUUCUAUGUUUCACUUGAUGGCCUUAAGUCCACAUAACCAAAAUAAAAACAAACAAAAAUACUUCAACUCUCUGAAGUAUUGAGUAAGGAUGGCUUGAGUAAGGAUGGAAGCUUCUUGUCACUUAAUCAAAACCAUGGGCACACUAAUAACGGCUCCAGCCACAGAUCAAACAAUCGGGAAGAUCUGUGGGCGUCUCUUUCUAUGUCCCUCUGGCCUGGUUGCCUGAGAGAUCUUGGGCCCAGAAAGGCAGCCACAGAUGAUUUUUAUAAAUAACGUUCACAAUCACAGGAUAGUUUACAGUUGACCCUGCCCUAGAAACUACACCCACCCGUCCCUUUUAACUUUAUGUACCAUGCUGUCUUGAUUUGACAAGGUAUUCAUCUUGGCCAGAGCCUGUGUUGGGCAGGCCUGGAUGACCCUUUCCCAGGGGUUACAUGAAACUUUUUUUGUUAAGGCGUGAAGCUGACACAACUACCCACUCUGGUUUUCAGUAGCUCCUAGUAACUCAGAAUCAAGUCUUACUGCCAGAGCUCUCAUCUCUCAUGGCGAUAGGCCAUGGGGAGCAUGUGAUGGGGCCUCUGCCAUAGGAUGCCAGGCCCUGGGCUCUGGGCAUCAGGGUUCAUCAGUGCUUAGCUUCCUCAUGGCUGUUCUCGAGUGGCUUCUUCAACCAUGGGCCUGGAGGGCUGUAGUUUCCUUCCACCCUUUUCCCUGAGGAACUGGCUCUGCAGUCUUCUGGAAGGAUCUUUCUGGUUUAUGCUCUGUUCCAGUUUGUAUUCUGGACCCAUAGGGAGAUGCUUCUGACAAAACCUCUUACUCUUUUUGUGUUCUGUGCUAAACUGAUAAUUGAUUGUAAAAAUGAAUACGGCAACUUCUUGAUUGUAAAAAAAAAAUACCUAAUCAAUUAUAAGCUCACAACCAAACACCUCCAA